GACGAACGCUGGCGGCGUGCCUAAUACAUGCAAGUUGAGCGCUGAAGGUUGGUACUUGUACCAACUGGAUGAGCAGCGAACGGGUGAGUAACGCGUGGGGAAUCUGCCUUUGAGCGGGGGACAACAUUUGGAAACGAAUGCUAAUACCGCAUAAAAACUUUAAACACAAGUUUUAAGUUUGAAAGAUGCAAUUGCAUCACUCAAAGAUGAUCCCGCGUUGUAUUAGCUAGUUGGUGAGGUAAAGGCUCACCAAGGCGAUGUUACAUAGCCGACCUGAGAGGGUGAGCGGCCACAUUGGGACUGAGACACGGCCCAAACUCCUACGGGAGGCAGCAGUAGGGAAUCUUCGGCAAUGGACGAAAGUCUGACCGAGCAACGCCGCGUGAGUGAAGAAGGUUUUCGGAUCGUAAAACUCUGUUGGCAGAGAAGAACGUUGGUGAGAGUGGAAAGCUCAUCAAGUGACGGUAACUACCCAGAAAGGGACGGCUAACUACGUG
rnacentral:rRNA from 1 species